ACGCACGCUGGCGGCGUGCUUAACACAUGCAAGUCGCACGGAAAGGCCCUGCUUGCAGGGUACUCGAGUGGCGAACGGGUGAGUAACACGUGGGUGAUCUGCCCUGCACUUCGGGAUAAGCUUGGGAAACUGGGUCUAAUACCGGAUAGGAGCCAUCUUUAGUGUGGUGGUUGGAAAGUUUUUUCGGUGUAGGAUGAGCUCGCGGCCUAUCAGCUUGUUGGUGGGGUAAUGGCCUACCAAGGCGGCGACGGGUAGCCGGCCUGAGAGGGUGUACGGCCACAUUGGGGCUGAGAUACGGCCCAGACUCCUACGGGAGGCAGCAGUGGGGAAUAUUGCACAAUGGGCGCAAGCCUGAUGCAGCGACGCCGCGUGGGGGAUGAAGGCCUUCGGGUUGUAAACUCCUUUCGCUAGGGACGAAGCUUUUUUGUGACGGUACCUAGAUAAGAAGCACCGGCUAACUACGUG
rnacentral:rRNA from 1 species